GAUGAACGCUGGCGGCGUGCCUAAUACAUGCAAGUCGAGCGAACAGACGAGGAGCUUGCUCCUCUGACGUUAGCGGCGGACGGGUGAGUAACACGUGGAUAACCUACCUAUAAGACUGGGAUAACUUCGGGAAACCGGAGCUAAUACCGGAAAAUAUAUUGAACCGCAUGGUUCAAUAGUGAAAGACGGUUUUGCUGUCACUUAUAGAUGGAUCCGCGCCGCAUUAGCUAGUUGGUAAGGUAACGGCUUACCAAGGCAACGAUGCGUAGCCGACCUGAGAGGGUGAUCGGCCACACUGGAACUGAGACACGGUCCAGACUCCUACGGGAGGCAGCAGUAGGGAAUCUUCCGCAAUGGGCGAAAGCCUGACGGAGCAACGCCGCGUGAGUGAUGAAGGUCUUCGGAUCGUAAAACUCUGUUAUUAGGGAAGAACAAAUGUGUAAGUACCUAUGCACGUCUUGACGGUACCUAAUCAGAAAGCCACGGCUAACUACGUG
rnacentral:rRNA from 1 species